rnacentral:rRNA from 2 species
AUACCGCGAAACUGCGAAUGGCUCAUUAAAUCAGUUAUCGUCUAUUUGAUAGUACCUUACUACUUGGAUAACCGUGGUAAUUCUAGAGCUAAUACAUGCUGAAAACCCCGACUUCGGAAGGGAUGUAUUUAUUAGAUUAAAAGCCAACGCCCUUCGGGGCUCCCUGGUGAUUCAUGAUAACUGCUCGAAUCGCACGGCCUUGCGCCGGCGAUGGUUCAUUCAAAUUUCUGCCCUAUCAACUUUCGACGGCUGGGUCUUGGCCAGCCGUGGUGACAACGGGUAACGGAGGGUUAGGGCUCGACCCCGGAGAAGGAGCCUGAGAAACGGCUACUACAUCCAAGGAAGGCAGCAGGCGCGCAAAUUACCCAAUCCCGACGCGGGGAGGUAGUGACAAUAAAUACUGAUACAGGGCUCUUUUGGGUCUUGUAAUUGGAAUGAGUACAAUUUAAUUCCCUUAACGAGGAACAAUUGGAGGGCAAGUCUGGUGCCAGCAGCCGCGGUAAUUCCAGCUCCAAUAGCGUAUAUUAAAGUUGUUGCAGUUAAAAAGCUCGUAGUUGAACCUUGGGCCUGGCUGGCCGGUCCGCCUCACCGCGUGCACUGGUCCGGCCGGGCCUUUCCCUCUGGGGAGCCGCAUGCCCUUCACUGGGCGUGCCGGGGAACCAGGACUUUUACUUUGAAAAAAUUAGAGUGUUCAAAGCAGGCUUAUGCUCGGAUACAUUAGCAUGGAAUAAUAGAAUAGGACGCGUGGUUCUAUUUUGUUGGUUUCUAGGACCGCCGUAAUGAUUAAUAGGGACAGUCGGGGGCAUCAGUAUUCAGUUGCGAGAGGUGAAAUUCUUGGACCAACUGAAGACUAACUACUGCGAAAGCAUUUGCCAAGGAUGUUUUCAUUAAUCAGGAACGAAAGUUAGGGGAUCGAAGACGAUCAGAUACCGUCGUAGUCUUAACCAUAAACUAUGCCGACUAGGGAUCGGGCGGUGUUAUCUUUUGACCCGCUCGGCACCUUGCACGAAAGUACAAGUUUCUGGG